UUGAUUCUAAUCUGAUCAACAUUGAAACUAUUAAGCUGCAGACUCAAUAAACAAUUAGUCUAAGUUUUCCAAGCAUGCAUUUCAAUACAACGAACCUUAAUGUAGUUUUAUUAAAUGAAACUUGAUUAAAACAACUUGAAUAUACUUGCAACUAAAGGAUGCGCAGAUAAGAGUUAAGCAAGCAAUUCAAUUAGACAAUUAUCUAAGUAAGUAAGUGUGGAAAUUAAACAAAGAAGCAUCACAAACACAACAAAAGUAUAGUGGUUCGGUGCCAAUUGCACCUACAUCCACUCCUCAAGCUNNNNNNNNNNNNNNNNNNNNAACUUGAAUAUACUUGCAACUAAAGGAUGCGCAGAUAAGAGUUAAGCAAGCAAUUCAAUUAGACAAUUAUCUAAGUAAGUAAGUGUGGAAAUUAAACAAAGAAGCAUCACAAACACAACAAAAGUAUAGUGGUUCGGUGCCAAUUGCACCUACAUCCACUCCUCAAGCUCUCUUGGAAAUUCCACUAUAAUCCUAAGACUACAAU
rnacentral:lncRNA from 1 species